AUUGAACGCUGGCGGCAGGCCUAACACAUGCAAGUCGGACGAGUGGCGGACGGGUGAGUAAUGUCUGGGAAAAUGCCAGAUGGCGGGGGAUAAAUGUGGGAAAGGGUAGAUAAUACCGCAUACCAUGGGAUGUGACGAUAGGGGAUUAGCUAGUGGGUGGGGUAACGGCUCACCGAGGCGACGAUCCCUAGCUGGUCUGAGAGGAUGACCCGCCACGCUGGCACUGCGACACGGUCCAGACUCCUACGGGAGGCAGCAGUGGGGAAUAUUGCACAAUGGGCGCAAGCCUGAUACAGCCAUGCCGCGUGUAUGAAGAAGGCCUUCGGGUUGUAAAGUACUUUCAGCGGGGAGGCGUUACUCGCAGAAGAAGCACCGGCUAACUCCGUGCCAGCAGCCGCGGUAAUUC
rnacentral:rRNA from 1 species